AACGAACGCUGGCGGCAUGCCCAACACAUGCCAGUCGAACGAGACCUUCGGGUCUAGUGGCGCACGGGUGCGUAACGCGUGGGAACCUGCCCUUAGGUUCGGAAUAACUCCCCGAAAGGGGUGCUAAUACCGGAUAAUGUCUUCGGACCAAAGAUUUAUCGCCUUUGGAUGGGCCCGCGUUGGAUUAGCUAGUUGGUAGGGUAAAAGCCUACCAAGGCGACGAUCCAUAGCUGGUCUGAGAGGAUGAUCAGCCACACUGGGACUGAGACACGGCCCAGACUCCUACGGGAGGCAGCAGUGGGGAAUAUUGGACAAUGGGCGAAAGCCUGAUCCAGCAAUGCCGCGUGAGUGAUGAAGGCCUUAGGGUUGUAAAGCUCUUUUACCCGGGAUGAUAAUGACAGUACCGGGAGAAUAAGCUCCGGCUAACUCCGUG
rnacentral:rRNA from 1 species